UUGAAAAAACAUGCUCUGAUUUCGACACUUCUGAGAGAUGCUACAACAACAGAGGAGAAGCAGCACCCAGACACUGUGCUGGUCUAGACAGGCAAAUUAGUUCUUGAGUCCUUCAAGCUCUUAAUGAAGUUAAGGGCUCUCUUGACUCACUGCUCCUUUCAGUGCUGGAAUAAAGGCCCAGUUUCCAUCAGCAUUCUCAGACAGCAAGGAUGCUUGUUGCUGUGGCAAGAGGCUGCAGCCUGGCGGUGAGGUGUGCAGGAGUUCACCCCGUGCCUGCGUACUGCACAGGGCACAUGACAAAGCAGGGGACGUGCAAACAAAGUGCAUUACGAGGAAAGAUCAGCACGGCUACUGAGGAUUCUGCUCAUUGAAGCCAUUUGCUAUCAGCAGAGUGAAGAGAUAGUCAAGCAAAUUUCCUGGGGACUUUUUCUUUAAUGAGAAGCCAUGCUGCAAACCUCCGUGCUCACGCUCAAGAAACUUCAUCCAGGAGCAGCACCAUGCAACGAAGUUUGGUUUUCUCAACAGUCACAGCU